UGGGGAAUAUUGCACAAUGGGCGCAAGCCUGAUGCAGCAACGCCGCGUGAGCGAUGAAGGCUUUCGAGUCGUAAAGCUCUGUCCUAUGGGAAGAUAAUGACGGUAUCAUAGGAGGAAGCCCCGGCUAAAUACGUGCCAGCAGCCGCGGUAAUACGUAUGGGGCGAGCGUUGUCCGGAAUUAUUGGGCGUAAAGGGUACGUAGGCGGUCUAUUAAGUCAGGUGUGAAAGCGUGAGGCUUAACCUCAUUAAGCACUUGAAACUGAUAGACUUGAGUGAAGGAGAGGAAAGUGGAAUUCCUAGUGUAGCGGUGAAAUGCGUAGAUAUUAGGAGGAAUACCGGUGGCGAAGGCGACUUUCUGGACUUUUACUGACGCUCAGGUACGAAAGCGUGGGGAGCAAACAGG
rnacentral:rRNA from 1 species